GUACGAGAGGACCGGGAUGGACGAACCUCUGGUGUGUCAGUUGUUCCGCCAGGAGCACCGCUGAUUAGCUACGUUCGGAACGGAUAACCGCUGAAAGCAUCUAAGCGGGAAGCCGGCUUCAAGAUGAGAUUUCCAUCCCUUCGGGGGAGAGGCUCCCAGCUAGACUACUGGGUUGAUAGGCCGGAUGUGGAAGUGGGGACUAAAGACCCAUGGAGCUGACCGGUACUAAUAAGCCGAUAACUUGACAACACA
rnacentral:rRNA from 1 species